CCAACUAAGUCUUCAUUACAAUUAUUGAUACAAUACUUUACAAAAAUGAUGAGUACUACUAAAACAACUUCCUAGAACCUUCAUUCCGUACCCCGACUAGUACUCGCUACAUUCUCGCCUCCUGAGAAGAAAAAUGGAACAAAAAGAAAAAGGGUGAGCUCAACUAGCCCAGUAAAAAAUAUUAUGACUAAGAUAAUAUAGAACAAAUUAUCGUUAGUCUUCAACAGGAAAAAAUCUGAUAGAAUACAAUAGACAACAAGUUUCAGAUCAGCAACGGAAAUAAUAAUUCAUAGAUGAGUUACGUAGAGAAUAAAAUCUACUAUUAUCUAUGAAUUUAAAAGUCCAUCGCCAAUAUUUUAUCUCUGUAACAUCAAUCAAUAUUCAUCUUAAAUCAAAUUUUCAUUUUUGCACUACAGGCCAAAGAUAUUCAUCAGUCGGUCAUGUUCAUCUCAACACCUGUUCAUCUUUGCACUACGGGCCAGAUAUAUUCAUUAUAAAAUAAUUUAUCUUUACACUACAGGCCAAAGAUAUUCAAUAAUAUCAUCAUUAAGGACAGAGGAUGAUGAAAAAUAUUUUUAAGGAAACGAAUCCAGUGAAACAAAAGAAUAAAUAUCAAGGAUUCAAGAAUGAUUAAAACAUGGAUACAAUCAAAGCUAGUAUCCAUAAUAGAUAUUUUGAACGAAAAGAAAAAAAUUUUAUUUUUCGAUGAAUAGUGCCGUAUACGUGAAUAGUAACCCCGACACAAAAAAUUCUAAAUUUGAUUAAAAGUUCAGAUCAAUACUUCGACAUAAUGAUAUUGAAAGAAAUAAUAUCAUAUAUGAAAAAAAUAACAUCCCUUACCUCGAAAAGACAGUACUCCUGACUAGAAUACUAUAUAUAGUGCUGAAGGGAACUUGCACCGUAUAGCAACACUUAAGGUAUCAAAAUACGCACAAGAAUACGCUCAAUAUAUCGAGAGAGAAAUAGAGAGAAAUC
rnacentral:lncRNA from 1 species